ensembl:lncRNA
AAAAGCAUGAUUUUCACGUUAAAUGGGGGAUUUUCCAAGAGAAAAUGUGUAAUUUCCAGGUUAAAUGGGGGGUUUUGGAAGAGAAAAUGUGUGACUUUUGGUUAAAUGGGGGGUUUUCCAGAGAAAAUGCAUGACUUUCUGUUAAAUGGAGGAUUUUUGUGGUAAAAAUGCGUGGUUUCCAGGUUAAAGCAGGGAUUUUCGAUGAGAAAAUACAUGAUUUGGGGGUUAAUUUUUUUUUUUUUUUAAGGGAAAACUUGUGAUUUUUGAUUAAUUAUGUAUUUUUGAAGUGAAAAUGCGUGAUUUUCAGGUUAGAUCAGGGAUUCUUGAAGAGAAAAUGCAUCAUUGUCGGGUUACAUGGGGGAUUUCCACAGAGAAAUAGCCUUUUUUUCCUGGUUAAAUGGGGGAUUUUCGAAGAGAAAAUGCAUGAUUUUCAGGUUACAUGGGAGAUUUUUUGAAGAGAAAAUGCGUGAUUUUCAGAUUAAAUGGGGGAUUGUUGAAGGGAAAAUGUGUGAUUUUCGGGUUAAAUGGGGGAUU